GUGCUCACUUCGGAAGCACGUCUACUAAAACUGGAAUGACACGGAGAAGAUCAGUGUGGCCCCUGCACAAAGAUGACUCGCAAAUUCGUGAAGCGUUCAUAUUAUAU